UACGUAGGUGGCGAGCGUUACUCGGAAUUACUAGGCGUAAAGCGCAUGUAGGUGGUUUGGUAAGUCUGUAGUGAAAUACUCCGGCUCAACUGGAGGGGGUCUACAGAUACUGCCAGGCUUGAGUGUGGGAAGGGAAGGCGGAAUUCCUGGUGUAGCGGUGAAAUGCGUAGAUAUCAGGAGGAACACCGAUGGCGAAGGCGGCUUUCUGGCCCAAUACUGACACUGAGAUGCAAAAGCUAGGGGAG
rnacentral:rRNA from 1 species